rnacentral:tRNA from 2 species
GCCCACAUAGCUCAGGGGCAGAGCACUUCCUUGGUAAGGAAGAGGUCCCCGGUUCAAAUCCGGGUGUGGGCUCCA